rnacentral:rRNA from 1 species
AGUGAACGCUGGCGGUAGGCCUAACACAUGCAAGUCGAACGGCAGCACAGUAAGAGCUUGCUCUUACGGGUGGCGAGUGGCGGACGGGUGAGGAAUAUAUCGGAAUCUACUUUUUCGUGGGGGAUAACGUAGGGAAACUUACGCUAAUACCGCAUACGACCUACGGGUGAAAGCAGGGGAUCUUCGGACCUUGCGCGAUUGAAUGAGCCGGUGGCGGAUUAGCUAGUUGGCGGGGUACGGGCCCACCAAGGCGACGAUCCGGAGCCGGUCUGAGAGGAUGACCGGCCACAGUGGGACUGAGAUACGGCGCAGAUGGCGACGGGAGGCAGCAGUGGGGAAUAUUGCAAAAUGGGCGGAAGACUGAUGAAGCAACGCCGCGUGCGGGAUGACGGCCUGCGGGUUGUAAAACGCUUUCGCCUGUGACGAAGCGGGAGUGACGGUAAUGGGUAAAGAAGCACCGGCUAACUACGUG